AUAAAUGCGCUGGUUGCUAAAAAGAAAAUCUGUUCUUUUCAGUUUAAUAUCUGAUACACUCUCUAUAUGAGAGCUACAUAUUAAAUGGAUUUUUAGAACAGGGAGCCAGAACAGGAGCUUGCUCCUUCUGCUCCAUGCAUCGACCUGGUAUUGCAGUACCUCUAGAAGACUGUACCCGCCCA